rnacentral:rRNA from 1 species
UGGGGAAUAUUGCACAAUGGGCGCAAGCCUGAUGCAGCCAUGCCGCGUGUGUGAAGAAGGCCUUCGGGUUGUAAAGCACUUUCAGCGGGGAGGAAGGCGUUAAGGUUAAUAACCUUGGCGAUUGACGUUACCCGCAGAAGAAGCACCGGCUAACUCCGUGCCAGCAGCCGCGGUAAUACGGAGGGUGCAAGCGUUAAUCGGAAUUACUGGGCGUAAAGCGCACGCAGGCGGUUUGUUAAGUCAGAUGUGAAAUCCCCGGGCUCAACCUGGGAACUGCAUCUGAUACUGGCAAGCUUGAGUCUCGUAGAGGGGGGUAGAAUUCCAGGUGUAGCGGUGAAAUGCGUUGAGAGCUGGAGGAAUACCGGUGGCGAAGGCGGCCCCCUGGACGAAGACUGACGCUCAGGUGCGAAAGCGUGGGGAGCAAACAGG